GGGCCCAAACCAUCUCCAAAGAAAAGAAAUCCCCAAAGAAAAUAACCGAAAAACUGAAACUAGAAACAAAAGACGUCGAGAGGUUCAUUUUGUGUGUUAAAAAUCAUCCUGUAUUGUAUAAUACUACAUUGCACGAUUACAAAGUUACAAAAGUUA